rnacentral:rRNA from 1 species
AUGCACGCUGGCGGCGUGCCUAAUCCCUGCCAGUCGAGCGAACAGAUGAGGAGCUUGCUCCUCUGACGUUAGUGGCGGACGGGUGAGUAACACGUGGAUAACCUACCUAUAAGACUGGGAUAACUUCGGGAAACCGGAGCUAAUACCGGAUAAUAUAUUGAACCGCAUGGUUCAAUAGUGAAAGACGGUUUUGCUGUCACUUAUAGAUGGAUCCGCGCCGCAUUAGCUAGUUGGUAAGGUAACGGCUUACCAAGGCAACGAUGCGUAGCCGACCUGAGAGGGUGAUCGGCCACACUGGAACUGAGACACGGUCCAGACUCCUACGGGAGGCAGCAGUAGGGAAUCUUCCGCAAUGGGCGAAAGCCUGACGGAGCAACGCCGCGUGAGUGAUGAAGGUCUUCGGAUCGUAAAACUCUGUUAUUAGGGAAGAACAAAUGUGUAAGUAACUAUGCACGUCUUGACGGUACCUAAUCAGAAAGCCACGGCUAACUACGUG